CAGCAGCCGCGGUAAUACGAAGGGUGCAAGCGUUACUCGGAAUUACUGGGCGUAAAGCGUGCGUAGGUGGUGGUUUAAGUCCGUUGUGAAAGCCCUGGGCUCAACCUGGGAAUUGCAGUGGAUACUGGGUCACUAGAGUGUGGUAGAGGAUAGUGGAAUUUCUGGUGUAGCAGUGAAAUGCGUAGAGAUCGGAAGGAACAUCUGUGGCGAAGGCGACUAUCUGGGCCAACACUGACACUGAGGCACGAAAGCGUGGGGAGCAAACAGGAUUAGAUACCCCUGUAGUCCCUGUCUCUUAUAC
rnacentral:rRNA from 1 species